UACGCAGGGUGCAAGCGUUGUCCGGAAUUAUUGGGCGUAAAGAGCUCGUAGGUGGCCUGUCGCGUCGGCUGUGAAAACUCGGGGCUCAACUCCGAGCUUGCAGUCGAUACGGGCAGGCUAGAGUUCGGCAGGGGAGACUGGAAUUCCUGGUGUAGCGGUGAAAUGCGCAGAUAUCAGGAGGAACACCGGUGGCGAAGGCGGGUCUCUGGGCCGAUACUGACACUGAGGAGCGAAAGCGUGGGGAGCGAACAGG
rnacentral:rRNA from 1 species